UACAGAGGUCCCGAGCGUUGUUCGGAUUCACUGGGCGUAAAGGGUGCGUAGGUGGUGUGAAAAGUCGGAUGUGAAAUCUCCAAGCUCAACUUGGAAAUGGCAUUGGAAACUGUCCUGCUAGAGGGUUGGAGGGGGGACUGGAAUGCUUGGUGUAGCAGUGAAAUGCGUAGAUAUCAAGCGGAACACCAGUGGCGAAGGCGAGUCCCUGGACAACACCUGACACUGAGGCACGAAAGCCGGGGGAGCAAACAGG
rnacentral:rRNA from 1 species